UACGUAGGGGGCAAGCGUUGUCCGGAAUCAUUGGGCGUAAAGAGCGUGUAGGCGGCUCGAUAAGUCUGCUGUGAAAGUCCAGGGCUCAACCCUGGAAGGCCGGUGGAAACUGUCGGGCUAGAGUCCGGAAGAGGCGAGUGGAAUUCCUGGUGUAGCGGUGGAAUGCGCAGAUAUCAGGAGGAACACCAAUAGCGAAGGCAGCUCGCUGGGACGGUACUGACGCUAAGGCGCGAAAGCCAGGGGAGCGAACGGG
rnacentral:rRNA from 1 species